GGGACACGUGGUAUCCUGUCUGAAUAUGGGGGGACCAUCCUCCAAGGCUAAAUACUCCUGACUGACCGAUAGUGAACCAGUACCGUGAGGGAAAGGCGAAAAGAACCCCGGCGAGGGGAGUGAAAAAGAACCUGAAACCGUGUACGUACAAGCAGUGGGAGCACCUUCGGGUGUGACUGCGUACCUUUUGUAUAAUGGGUCAGCGACUUAUAUUCUGUAGCAAGGUUAACCGUAUAGGGGAGCCGCAGGGAAACCGAGUCUUAACUGGGCGUUAAGUUGCAGGGUAUAGACCCGAAACCCGGUGAUCUAGCCAUGGGCAGGUUGAAGGUUGGGUAACACUAACUGGAGGACCGAACCGACUAAUGUUGAAAAAUUAGCGGAUGACUUGUGGCUGGGGGUGAAAGGCCAAUCAAACCGGGAGAUAGCUGGUUCUCCCCGAAAGCUAUUUAGGUAGCGCCUCGUGAAUUCAUCUUCGGGGGUAGAGCACUGUUUCGGCUAGGGGGUCAUCCCGACUUACCAACCCGAUGCAAACUACGAAUACCGAAGAAUGUUAUCACGGGAGACACACGGCGGGUGCUAACGUCCGUCGUGAAGAGGGAAACAACCCAGACCGCCAGCUAAGGUCCCAAAGUCAUGGUUAAGUGGGAAACGAUGUGGGAAGGCACAGACAGCCAGGAUGUUGGCUUAGAAGCAGCCAUCAUUUAAAGAAAGCGUAAUAGCUCACUGGUCGAGUCGGCCUGCGCGGAAGAUGUAACGGGGCUAAACCAUGCA
rnacentral:rRNA from 1 species